rnacentral:tRNA from 1 species
GGAAAUGUGGCUUAGUGGUAGAGUGCUUGCCUAGCAUGCAUGAAGCCCUAGGUUCAAUUCUCUAGUACCA